AAGUCGUAACAAGGUUUCCGUAGGUGAACCUGCGGAAGGAUCAUUACCAAUUUCAAAGUGUGUAUCGCGUUACCUCGGCGUCUGCAAUUGCUAGGCGUUAGAGAGUUGCGGUCAGAUAGCACUUGAAAACCCCCACCCUUGUCUAUUUAACCUUUGUUGCCUCGGCGGGUUCGCCCGCCAGAGGCCCCUUCUAAACUCUUGUUGUAAACGACGUUUGUCUGAGCUACAAAGCAAUUGUUUAAAACUUUCAACAACGGAUCUCUUGGUUCUG
rnacentral:misc_RNA from 1 species